UAGUGCUUAGCUCACUUGGUAGAGCAUCGCCCUUACAAGGCGAGGGUCGUAGGUUCGAGUCCUACAGCACCGACCAU